GUCUAGCCCCGAUGGGAGCGGCAUCCCGCCCUCUGGCGGAUAAAGCGGACAGCGGGAACAUGG
rnacentral:sRNA from 1 species